rnacentral:rRNA from 1 species
UACGUAGGGGGCAAGCGUUGUCCGGACUUACUGGGCGUAAAGCGCGUGCAGGCGGCUUGGUAUGUGCCGUGUGAAAGCUCUCAGCUUGCCUGGGAGAGGUCGCGGUAGACAGCCGAUCUGGAGGCUCGGAGAGGUCAGUGGAAUUCCCGGUGUAGUGGUGAAAUGCGCAGAUAUCAGGAGGAACACCAGUGGCGAAGGCGACUUCCUGGCCUGUUCUUGACGCUGAGGCGCGAAAGCUAGGGUAGCAAACGGG